CCUACGGGUGGCUGCAGUGGGGAAUAUUGGACAAUGGGCGAAAGCCUGAUCCAGCCAUGCCGCGUGUGUGAAGAAGGCCUUCGGGUUGUAAAGCACUUUCAGUGGGGAAGAAAGCCUUUUGGCUAAUACCCUCGAGGAAGGACAUCACCCACAGAAGAAGCACCGGCUAACUCCGUGCCAGCAGCCGCGGUAAUACGGAGGGUGCGAGCGUUAAUCGGAAUUACUGGGCGUAAAGCGCGCGUAGGCGGUCUGAUAAGCCGGUUGUGAAAGCCCCGGGCUCAACCUGGGAACGGCAUCCGGAACUGUCAGGCUAGAGUGCAGGAGAGGAAGGUAGAAUUCCCGGUGUAGCGGUGAAAUGCGUAGAGAUCGGGAGGAAUACCAGUGGCGAAGGCGGCCUUCUGGACUGACACUGACGCUGAGGUGCGAAAGCGUGGGUAGCAAACAGGAUUAGAUACCCGGGUAGUC
rnacentral:rRNA from 1 species